UACGUAGGGUGCGAGCGUUGUCCGGAAUUAUUGGGCGUAAAGGGCUCGUAGGCGGUUUGUCGCGUCGGGAGUGAAAACCAGGUGCUUAACACCUGGCUUGCUUUCGAUACGGGCAGACUAGAGGUAUUCAGGGGAGAACGGAAUUCCUGGUGUAGCGGUGAAAUGCGCAGAUAUCAGGAGGAACACCGGUGGCGAAGGCGGUUCUCUGGGAAUGACCUGACGCUGAGGAGCGAAAGCCAGGGGAGCAAACGGG
rnacentral:rRNA from 1 species